AUUGAACGCUGGCGGCAUGCCUUACACAUGCAAGUCGAACGGUAACAGGUCUUCGGAUGCUGACGAGUGGCGAACGGGUGAGUAAUACAUCGGAACGUGCCCGAUCGUGGGGGAUAACGAGGCGAAAGCUUUGCUAAUACCGCAUACGAUCUACGGAUGAAAGCGGGGGAUCUUCGGACCUCGCGCGGCCGGAGCGGCCGAUGGCAGAUUAGGUAGUUGGUGGGAUAAAAGCUUACCAAGCCGACGAUCUGUAGCUGGUCUGAGAGGAUGAUCAGCCACACUGGGACUGAGACACGGCCCAGACUCCUACGGGAGGCAGCAGUGGGGAAUUUUGGACAAUGGGCGAAAGCCUGAUCCAGCAAUGCCGCGUGCAGGAUGAAGGCCUUCGGGUUGUAAACUGCUUUUGUACGGAACGAAAAGCCGCUUUCUAAUAAAGAGGGGUCAUGACGGUACCGGAAGAAUAAGCACCGGCUAACUACGUG
rnacentral:rRNA from 1 species